AUUCAGCUGACGAGUCCCAUAUAGGACGAAACGCACGUCUUGGAU
rnacentral:hammerhead_ribozyme from 1 species